UGGAAAAAUGUGACCCAGGGUCACAGAGGGAGCUGGUGGCAAAGAUGAGACUUAAAUUCAGGUCUCCCGAUUCCCAGGCCUGCCCUUGUUCUACACCCUGUGUAUUAGUCAGGAUCCAGCAGAAAACGGAUUAAAUUGGGGACAUUUAAAGUGGGGGCUUUGAGGUAGGAUAUAGGGAAACUGCUAUGGAACGUGGAAUAUUCUGGGGCUGGUGACAGUGGGAUCUUACCACCUCUGCACCUGGAGGCAGGCUGUGUGGAGGGCAGGCUUAUUAGAGCUGGGACUUUAAGUCAAGGAGCUCAAAAAGGGAGGAAUAAAAACCAAACCCUGUCUCCACCUUCUCCCUCCCUCUGGUUUUGGUUCCAGACUCCACAUGGACCAAACCCAGCUGGCAGUCAGAGGCCAAGAGCAUCUUGAUGCACGGCAUACUGACCGAUUCCAGGGUGCAGUGCACGAUGGAAAAGGAGGAACGUACCUGAAGACGCAAAUGAAAGAUAUCCAGCAUCACAGGCAACCUUGCUUCUAUUACCGAAAAUCUACCCUGGAGGUCAAUUUGCCAUGACAAAGUUGCUCUGUAAGAAACUCCCAGGACGCAUGCUCAGACUCAGGGGCCUGUGCAGGGAUGGGCCAGCCUGAAGCAGACGGGCUGCAGCCCCGCAAGGUCCCUUCUUCAGCAAGGAGGACAGCGUGACAGCUGGGUCGUCUUCGCAGGACUGAAUGUGCCCUGUUGCAGAUCAUGAGAACUGAAUGGUGAGCAUGCCAGAUAAUCUCAGGGGUGUGGGGUGAUCCUGGGCACAGCUUGGUCCCUAUGGAGAGCAGUUUGCAGCCUACUGGGGAUACCUGUGGUGUUUGACUAUGUGAUUUUUCACCCCUGAAAUAACUCAUGCUGGCCCUCCUUCCCUCCCUGUCUCCCUGCCCUUCUUCCUGUGUUCUGUCUUUAUUCCUUUCUUUUGGGGGCUCUUUUUUUUUUCUAAUUGUAAUUUACUCACAAUAAAAUGGAUAUUAUAUAUUUUUAAUUUUUAUUGUUUUUGUUAUUUUAUUUUAUUUUUGAGACGGAGUCUCACUCUGUAGCCCAGGCUGGAGUGCAGUGGUG
rnacentral:lncRNA from 1 species